rnacentral:rRNA from 1 species
UACAGAGGUCUCAAGCGUUGUUCGGAUUCAUUGGGCGUAAAGGGUGCGUAGGCGGCGCGGUAAGUCGGGUGUGAAAUCUCGGAGCUUAACUCCGAAACUGCAUUCGAUACUGCCGUGCUUGAGGACUGGAGAGGAGACUGGAAUUUACGGUGUAGCGGUGAAAUUCGUAGAUAUUGGGAAGAACACCGGUGGCGAAGGCGGCGACCUGGUCCGAUACUGACGCUGAGGCGCGAAAGCGUGGGAGCAAACAGG